AGAUGCCUCUUCCCAGAUCCAACUACGACAGUGGGUUGGUUUUAGUCCUUCUAAUGCCAGGUCUUUAUCCACCUCGGGUGUUAGCUAUUUCCCAGCAAUACAACUAUUUCUCUUCGGAAGAAUUGUUUUUCCCCUCCAGAUGUUCAUGCUUAUGUUAUGUGUGGAUUUUGAAAGCUAAUGUACACGUACUAUGUGCUUUGAGAAGAAAACAGUGUAGUUGUUAUGCAUGAGCACACCUUCUGCAUAAUGGUCAAUUUGGUUGACCUUCGUUGUCAAAAGAAAUUUGCUUAGUGUAUUGUCAUCAUAAGUAACUAGCAUAGUGCUUACAUCUGGAACAUAGAACUUAGCUAUAAAUCUUAACUAUGAUGGUACUUUGUGGAAAAUGGCACAUUUAAACUGAUUUUAAUGAUAUAUUUAUUGCUCUGAACCUUGGAUUGUCACCAUAGUUUAGACUCUUGAGUGUUGUUCUGGCUUUGAAAAGUGGGUUGUCACAGGUUUUGUGCUAGCCUGGAAUAUUUUUGGCCACGUACGUUAUUCAACUAGGUAACUCCGCUGCUCUGUUACCACAAGCAGCUCCAUGCCUUAGUUAGGCCGGUCCCUAUUUUUUAGGACUAGAUUCUCUCUUACCUAUGCCUACAAGGUCGAUGAAAAUCCAAGCAAGUUGCAAGGAAGAUUCAUCUAUGUAAUAAUGUAAGGAAAGAAAUCUUCAAGUCUCAGGUUUUUCUAUAACCAUUCCCACAUGGUGGUAAGCUCUCCCAGCAAAUCAUGAUGUGACUCGGAUCAGUUUUGUCAUGAGUGCCUUAUAUAUGUGCACCAUGGCCAUAAGUACGAGCAGCAUGCAUAUGUGCAUUGAGUCAUCCAACAUGAGGAAUAAGAGAGAUAAAAGCGGGUCCACAGCAAAAAGCGGUGCGGCAAGGCUUGCGUCUACUUCUAGUGGUUACCUAUACUCGAAUGGAGUGCCUUCUUGAGUAGGUGUUUUGGUACUAGCUUGCCUUGUGAAGUAAUAAAUGUUGUCAAUGCUAUGCUUUAUCCAAGUUUUUAUGGUACAUUGUAUUUAUGAAUGUAAGAAUGUAAUGGCAACUUCUUUA